rfam:Novosphingobium sp. SCN 66-18 ABT11_C0009, whole genome shotgun sequence.
GGCGAAUUUUGCCCUGGCAGAGCGAGCCAGAGAUACUUGGCGCCCGUUCAACGAUGAUCGCCUUUAUCGACGAACAUCGCGAUGCCUAUGGGGUCUAGCCGAUCUGCCGGAUUCUGCGGAUCGCGCCA